AUGGAACAAGCUCUCAAGCAGGCAGAUGCUAUUUUGGAAGUGGCAGAGCACGAGGAACAUGCUCCCGAGGAGAUUCAGGCCACUAUAGUAGAUGACGAGUUGAAGAAGCUUAAUCUGAAGAAAAAGCCGAGGAGGCGCAAGGGUAAGAACAAGGUUGUGGACGAAUCCCUCUCUGACCCAAAUGCCUACGAAGCUCGUCUUCGUCGAAAGUUCUGGGAUUCAACAUUUGCUGGCCCACGAUAUGGUUGCUAUGAGACCACAACUUCUAUCCCUCCCAUGCGAUUCACUGAUGAUGAGUGUGACCUCGCUGCCCCACUUGAGACUCUUCAGGUUUUUUCAGUGAAAGUCGUUGGAGUAAAGAAGGGGAUAUCUUGGCCACUUAGUCUCUAUGGCAAGAUUGCAGCACGCGACACAGUGGAUCGCAAUCGCAAUAUCAUCUUUGAUUGCGAGCACUGA
rnacentral:rRNA from 1 species